CGGCUGGCUGAGGGGCGGACCUUCUUGGGCUUCGGGAGGUUCGGCUGCUGCCACUGAGCUGAGGAGGGGGAAACAGAGAGUUGGAGACCGCGGCGGCAAAACCGGUGCAGCUAGAGCCAGGGGUGUGUCCUCACCUUGCAGUCCAUCCGGCACAGGCGGCCCUCCUGGACGAUCAGGUCACCAGGCGCCUGCAGGAAGUGAGGGCGGAAGUGACGCUCUUGGAUGUUGUCGUUCUCGUCACCGCUGUCUCUGGACCGAGACCGGGGCCUGGCAGAGACGCAGAGGACAGCAGUGUUCCUCUGAAUCCUCCCUGUGACCUCACCAUCCCACCUGCACCUGACGCAGGGCUGUACAUAAAAGAAAAAAACCCCAGAAACAAACAAAAAGAAAAAAAGGUCAUUCGGGCACCGAUUGUUAUCUCGGUCUCUCUCCUCACCCAAAACAACGCGGCGCUGUUAUCUAAUCGGGGCGUGUCCAUGGUGAUAACAGCUCACAGAUCCUGGAUGACGGCGUCCUUGGAGCCCUGGAUGUCGGAGUCGGAGACGAUGCGAGGCGUCUUGGUGACUGACGACUUCCUCGGAAACACUUUGCUGAAAGAAAG